rnacentral:rRNA from 1 species
AUACGGAGGGUGCAAGCGUUACUCGGAAUCACUGGGCGUAAAGCGCGCGCAGGCGGUCUUUUAAGUUGGAUGUGAAAGCCUACGGCUCAACCGUAGAACUGCAUCCAAAACUAUUAGACUUGAGUGUGGGAGAGGAAGAUGGAAUUAGUUGUGUAGGGGUAAAAUCCGUAGAGAUAACUAGGAAUACCAAAAGCGAAGGCAAUCUUCUGGAACACUACUGACGCUGAGGCGCGAAAGCGUGGGGAGCAAACAGGAUUAGAAACCCUUGUAGUCC